AGACAGCGUGAGCUUAAAUAACUGGAGUAACCUCGUUUGGAGGGAUGGAAUGUCAGAGCGCGCUUCGCCCAGCACAAACGACGACGGGGUCAGGCUCCACCCUGCAAGGGACAGCGCUGGUUUCUCUGCCGCUCGGGCCGGAGGAGGAGGAGGCUGCCGACGCGCUGCUGGUGGCGGAAGUUGAGUUUGUAUCGUGUGAGGCAGCUUUUUAAAGUCUGGGUCUAGGAUACGUCCGGGGAAAAGAGAGAGAAUGUAUAAUGUUCGUUACGAUGGUGCCCGAGAGAGAGGAGAGGACAAGCUUUCCUUAGGAAAAUAGCUUCCACUUCCAGCAUCUUCCUAAGCUGGCUGAACCACUUGGUUGAAGCAGAGACUCUCGGAUUCAGGUGUUCCCGACCGACAGUUGCUAGUGAUAGUAAUAAAUCGGCUUUGUCAGUAUUUGACUCUGGAUCAUUUUGAAAUGUGGUGGUUUCAGCAAGGACUGAGUUUCUUGCCUUCUGCCCUGGUUAUUUGCUCGUCUGCUGCUAUACUGUUUCCAUAUGUUAUUGGAGUACUCUUAAACCAUAUUGACCCUUUCGUACCCUAUAUCAGGUCAGUAUACUUUAUAUUUUUGCAUUGCAAUUUAUGUUCAAAUGUUACAUCUAUGAAACUUAUCUUACCCUCCUGUUUUUUGCUUUAAAAGUUUUUUAAAAUGGAGU